rnacentral:rRNA from 1 species
GACGAACGCUGGCGGCGCGCCUAACACAUGCAAGUCGAACGGAGCUUUGAGAGCUUGCUUUUAAAGCUUAGUGGCGAACGGGUGAGUAACGCGUGAGUAACCUGCCCUGGAGUGGGGGACAACAGUCGGAAACGGCUGCUAAUACCGCAUAAUGCAUCAAUUUCGCAUGUUAUUGAUGCCAAAGGAGCAAUCCGCCUUUAGAUGAGCUCGCGUCUGAUUAGCUAGUUGGCGGGGUAACGGCCCACCAAGGCGACGAUCAGUAGCCGGACUGAGAGGUUGAACGGCCACAUUGGGACUGAGGCACGGCCCAG